rnacentral:rRNA from 1 species
CUGGUUGAUCCUGCCGGAGGCACCGUUAUGCGAUUUCGAUUAAGCCAUGCGAGUCGAGAGGGUUCGGCCCUCGCCGCACCGCUCAGUAACACGCGGAUAAUCUGCCCUUGGGUCGGGGAUAAGCUCGCGAAAGUGAGUAUAAUACCCGAUAGCUGUCGAAUGCUGGAAUGCUUUGAGGUCGAAAGUUCCGAUGCCUAAGAAUAGGUCUGCGACCUAUCAGGCUGUAGUGGGGUGUAAAGGCCCCACUAACCUAUAACGGGUAGGGGGUCUUGGGAGAGAUCAGCCCGGAGAUGGCUUCUGAGACAUGAACCCAGGCCCUACGGGGCGCAGCAGGCGCGAAA